GUUAAUGCAGCAAUAACGAGGGUCCAUUGAUUAAUAGUGCUGUUCAUGUCACAUUAAUGGCUACUUUAAAUAGUCACGUUAAAUUAUUCAGUGCACAGAAGUAGAUAAAUAAGUUUCCAGCGUGUACUUUCUUUUGUUUGGCUAUUCAUAAUGCAGUUGUGUGAAGGCCUUAGCAGAGAGGAUGUGGUCUGGAUCAGUUUGUACUCCUGCAGUAACUGAGGCGAGGUAGUCCACAUGACUUUGCUUUGUGUCUUAAGACAGAAAUUUGGACCUAGCGAGGCAGUCUGAGGGCCACACAGGGUUCACAGCCAAAACCACACGCACUCACAAAGGCAAUUAUGCUAAGGCCACCAAGCAUACUCCCACUCCGUGGUUACUGAAGUGCUAAGAAAUCCUCUAAAAAAAGAGAAUGCUUCAGCUGACACUCACAGAAAAGGUGACCACUCACAAGUUACAUUUGGGAUCUUUUAUAAUGACAAGGAGAACAAUGGAGGAGAAAUAACUCUACAGGGAGGCAACCUUUAGAAGCAGAAAGUUUUAAAUAAAGGUACAAUUUUUAGACAUAUUUUUCUACCACAUGAGCACAGAUAUGUAAUUUACCAGAGCUGACAUAUCUAGCCCUGGAUAUUUUCACAUUCAAGACUGUCCUGAUGCUUUAAAGGUUAGACCAUAUUGGUGGCUGGUGAAAUAUUUGCUCCAGUUUCAUAUAGAACUUUCUCUCUGUGCUAUGUCCAUGCUGUCUUCACACCAGGGGACAUAACCAGUUCACUGUCAGUUUAACAUAUUUGAAAUGCAAAUGAAGUGGUGGUAACAGAUCAUUUCGGUAUCCUUUACUUCUUACAUGGCUGAUUAUAACAACCUGGUAUGUUCUAAAAGUUGAACUGCCAGUGAACUGAUUGAACUGAACCAUUCAGGCUGAAAGGACACUUGGCCAACACUGACCUCAAGUGGUCAAACCAGGAAGUUCAGUAUUAUCAGUCACUGAUCAGAUUCUUGAGGAGGAACCAUAGACUGUAUAUGGGGGGAACUCAAGGAACUCACAAACAUGUAGUUUUAUAACCAUGUUGUUGAAAGUAUCAUUCUGUUUUAUAAGAUAUAAACUGAUGAAUAUAAACCUCUGGAUAACUUCACAUAUCGUUAUUGACCGUAAUCUUUCUGUACAUACAUUCACUGGGAGCUUUUGGAAAUAUUUUUUGGAAACAUUCCUGUAAGCUUCUGGUCUAUACUGACAUUAUUGUAUCAAAUAAUUUCUGCAGACAUGUCAGCUGCAAAUCCAUGCUGAGAAUCUCCUAUUGUACCACUCUAAUAACUAGAACUGAACUGCCAAUGUUAGCUGACGUAUGUCGUCAUUGGUCGCGACGUGUCUCGCCAUUGGCCUUUGCUUUCUGGGAGGAGCGCGGAGGGAAACGAAAUCAGGAAAACAGACUAAGACCAGCACUUGAACCGCUGCUUCUGUUUGUCAGUACUUGAGAAAAUGUCCUUACCGAGGAAGUCUGGAUACUUAAACAAACUCUGGAGCUGCUUUUUUGUACAACACAAGCGAGGCUGGAUGCUGAACACAAGCGAAGAAGUCAAGAAUGAACUUUGAAACUCAACUUUCAAGCCAAGAUGGACGAGAAGUCUGUGAAGUGCUGCCUUCGCCCUCCUGCCAGGCCACCUGAGGGUACUCGCCUUCAGCGCCGUCACCAUCUUGGUCGGCCCUUGGAUGGGAUUCGCCUAUGUCGUUGCUGCCGCCUCUCUGCCUUCGCCCCAGCAUCUGUCAGCGUUUCCAGCCCCGCCCGUGGGUUCAGUCUCCGGUGUCUCCUGCCCCCGGGCUGUCCGCCUGAGGUUUCCUGUUCCGUGGCUCUUCAGACCCCGGGCCAUCCGCAGGAGGUCUCUGGUUCCCCACUCUCUGCACGGCAAACAUAACACGAACUGACACACAUGCAGGAUAGUAGUUCUGUCAGUCACAGGUGGAAGACGUAUUGUCUAACUGACCUUCAUAACCAUGAUCAUCCAUGAGGGCUUUGAUUUUUACUUGUUGGUCCGUCUGGUAUCCGAUCUUGAGGACUGUCACGGCCCACCUGCUACAUGAAUCUUAGUUUCUUUGUUUCUGUUAUUUAGUAUUUUCUCCUUGAGUUUCUGGUGUUUAGGUUCGUGUUAUUUUUGGUAUUUAUUUCUCCUGCGUUUCUGGUUUUAUUUUGGUAUUCCUUUCCCUCAUGUUUCUUACCCUUGUAUUUCAUGUUUUAUUUUGUAGUCACUUGUCCUGGUGUGUUGUGUUUUUACUUCCUGUUUUAUUUUGGUAAUGGUUUCCUGGCGUGUCGUUUGUGGUUUUACUUCCUACUUACGGUUUUCUGUCUCACCUGGGUCCAAUUUGUUUAGUCCCUUUGUAUAUUGUCUCAUCUGUCCCUUCCUGAGUGGCCAUAGUAUUGCCUUAUGUUACAUUGUGUCACCCUCCUCAUGCUCCUCCUGUUCCUGUGUCUCCAGUGUUUUCCCAUUGUUUUUUCCUUGGACUUUAUUUUCUGGAUUUUCUGGCUCUUCUUUGUUUGGUUAAAUACAUUUCUGGACUGAAGUUAGUCUUGUUUGUCUGCAUUUUGGGUCCUGUCUUUUCUGCCUUUGCCCUCACUGUGACAGAUAUUGCAACAUCUUUAAAUAGCACUGUGAUAGAACAUCAUUUGAAUAUAUAAUAAAUGUGACAUCAAAAAUAA